UUUUUUUUUUUUCCUUCUUGCUUUUUAGGGCUGUACUCACAGCAUAUGAAUCAGGUUCCCAAGCUAGGGGUUUAAUCAGAGCUACAGCUGCCAACCUAGGCCACAGGCACAGCAACACAAGAGCCAAGCUGCAUCUGCAACCUACACCACAGCUCACCGCAAUGCCAGAUCCUUAACCCACUGAGCGAGGCCAGGGAUCAAACCUGAAACCUCAUGGUUCCUGGUCGGAUUCAUUUCCACUGCACCACGACGGGAACUCCAUAUUUCCUUAGCUUUUACCUAAUGUCUGUAAGGAUCCCAUCCAGGAUCCCGUAUUACAUCUAGCCAUUACGUCUCCUCAGGCUCCUCUCGGCUGUGACCGUUUCUCAGACUUUCCCUGUUUUUGAUAACCAGUGUGGAGAGGACUAGUCAGCUAUUUGGGAUCUGUCUGAUGCUUUUCUCAUGGCUACACUGGUGUUAGGGGUUUGGGAGAGGAAGUCCACAGAGGGGAGGUGCCAUUCCCAUCACAUCUCGUCAAGGGUGUGUGAUAUCAACAUGAUUUAUUACUGGCGAGGGGACCUUUAUCACCUGGCCAAGGCAGUGCUUGCCAGAUUUUCUCACAAUCAAGUCACUCUUUUUUUCCCUUCUUUCUUCUUCAGGGGGAGGUCACUACGGGACUGCGUGACCACAGCUAGGGAGUGGAAAAUUAUGUUCCACCUUCUUGUCAGUGUUGACAUAAAUGAUUUGGAAUUCCUCUGUACAGAUUUGUCUUUCUCAUUUAUUUAUUAGUUCAAUCAUUUAUUUAUAUCAGUAUGAACUCAUGAAUGUUUAUUUUAUACUUUGGGUUACAAUCCAAUGCUACUUUAUUUAUUUUGUUGCUCAGAUUGUUCCACUGUUGGCCAUUGGGAGCUUUUUCAGUUGGCUCCUAUGUCCCUUUAGCAUACUCCAGUUACUGUGGGUUUUUUUUUUUUUUUUAACACUUCCCUACUUCUUAACAUUACAAGACUCUCCAUGCUCAUCUUUUAUAUUUCCUGCUCCAGCCCUACAAUCAGCCAUUUCUUCACAAAGCCCUGGUUCCUUUUACUGGAGAAUGGUAUUAGAAACCAAGAUCUGGGCACUGCCGGGGUUCACUGUUACCAGGGUGUCAUUUCUAGUCCUUCUUAACUGAUAGAGCAAAAGGAUAUAUGUGUGUAUGGUAACAUGUGCACAGAAACACAACUAUAAAUGUUUCUAUGUGUAGGCAAAUGUAUCUAUAUUAAGCCAAACAUGACUUCAUACCAUUGUCUCCAAUGAUUACCAUAUGGAUCAUUCCAGCCUCUCGCCUUGCUUUGCCAUAAACCUCAUCUCCUGCAACAGUGAGAAAACCCUGCCUCCCACAGUCCACCACUCAUUGACAUAACUGUUCAAUUUCAGUAUAUUUUAUAGCUGUUUUAGAAUUGUGAAUCUAUGCCUUCUGCAGGGAAAAAACCAUCAGAGCACAAUGCUUACAUACAGCUCCUUUUGCUUUUAGUUUUGCAGUCUUAACUCAUUUCUAAAGCUAUGUAGGUCAGCAUCUUUAUCCCCUACUCCCAUCAAUGAAGUUAUUUCAUAUAUUUGAAAUAGUGUCUUUUUUCACAGUCUGCAUUCUAUUCUGGGAUCCUCUGACCCCCUAAAUAUAUAUAUUUUCAUAUGUUUUUUAAUUUGUAUGCAUUAAGCUUUACUCUUUGUGCUGUAAAGUUCAAUAGGUUUUGAAAAAUGCCUUGUCAUGUAUUCAUCAUUAAGGUAUCAGAGAAUAGUUCAUCCUAAAAAAAAUCCCCUAUGCUUCAUCUAUUCAAUCCUCCCUUCUCUUCAAAUAUUUGCCAACCACCAUUCUGUUUACAGUUUUGCUUUUUAUAGAAUGUCAUAAAAAUAGAAUCAUAUACUAUGUAGUAUGUUUCAGACCAGUUCGAACACCAAUGUUUUUAUAGAGAGGUGAUGGUUAACAGUGUUCACUGGGGUUGAGAGGUAAAUAGGUAGAGAAGAGUGACAGGUAUUAGCAUAGCACAGGCUAGAUCUAGAAGUUUCCAGCAAUAAGAACUGAAAUUACGGAUUGCUAUUUUAGUUCUCAAUGUCAGUGACUCAAGUGUGAGGAGGACUGAAUCACCAGACUCCAGAGAAGGGAAAUCUUACCAUGGAGCAGAGCUCUGGAGAGGGAAAGAUCAAAUCUCAAAGACCCUCAAACCAUCAUCACAUAUGAGCUAAUUAGCAGAACAAUGAGCCAAUACCUUGCAAUAAUUUAGGUCUCAUGGCACAGGAUAAAAUGGCAGUGUUUUAGAUGUAUUUAAUCUAUUUAUUUGAGCUAAAAUGAAUUGUGAUCAACAGUGAAACAUGCCCAUCUACCUUGGGAAUCACUUACGCCAGCUGUCCAACAUCAUUUAGCUAUGAGGCCCCAAGUGAGGAACAAAUAUGUACAAGGAUUAAGAUUCUGUGCUCACUAGAAGUGACCAUGUGGAGGUAGGUGUCCUAAAAAGCCUCAUCCAGAAGCACAGUACACCUGCACAUACCUGCCCUGCUUUUCUCGGAAUCAGCUAGAAUUCCAUGGCGUGCUGCACAUACUAGGGAGUGUUGGGAAAAAAAACAUACCAAAAAAAACACCGAAAGAGGCAACAAAGAUCUCCACUGAGAUCUUCGCAACAAUUUCUUUUCAUAAAUUUUAGCACAUGAGCUCUUGAAGGGUCGCUAUGGAAAUAGACCAAUCUCUUUGCUGUCUCUAAGGUGAUACCUCCUUGAGCUCUUCCCAACCUCAUUCCCGCUGGCUUCCCAAGUGCACUGGUGGACCUAGUAGCACCUGUCAUGUUGUUUCUUCCAGCUCGACUCAAAGCAGUGUCAGGAUGAGCAGAGGAGCAGACCCACAUGUGCUUCCUACCAUCUGUAGCUCUCAUUCAUUCCCCUAUAGACUACUGAGUAUCAACUGUGCUUUUUCCGAUUUUGGUCACAGAGUCUCAUCACUGGUCAUCAGAGUACUAGCACACCUAACAGUCAUUUCUUAAUCUUUCUCUCAGCUGACCUCCACCUCCUUCUAUUGUGUUUUCUUGGGUUGAGUACCAAAGUUCCUUAGUCUAUAUCAGGGACAGGCAGAUUUGCCAAGAUACAAGGAUAAAGCCUCUUGGAAAGGGGCCGAGAAAAUGAUGUAGCCACUGAAUUUCUACUUCUUUUUAUAACUACUUUUAGUCAUUAUCACUAGAUUAAACACACACACGCGCAUGCACACACACACACACACACACACGCACAAAACUGAUUAGUUCUGGUUGUUAUUCAUUAUUCUCCCACUUCUUUUCUAAAAAAUCUGCAUUACAAACAACCCUCCAGGAUCUUAUUCCAAUCAACCUAUCUUGAGUCUAACAAUUAAUAUUCCUAAUACAACCACUAUGCCAUUCGAGUUUUAUUUUUAAAGCAACAAAACUGAGGCCAGUCAAUCACAAAUCCUCAUGAAGAAGGAGGCCAGAGAGGUUAACCAGAGGGUGAACUUGGCACUGCAAAGCAAGCCCCCCUCCCCGUGUUUCCCUGUUCACUAAAGCUAGUGGUUUGGGUUAACACAGGAAACACAGUAAACACACAGUAAAUUGUACACACAAAGCAACCAUCAGUAAUUUGCCUGGUGGGGUCGGAUAGCAUGUGGCUGAUAGGUCUCAGGAGAUGGGGAACAAACAGCCAGGAUGGAUUAAGUGAUUGCGAUUGGCUGUGUCCCUACCCUGCAUAUUUCACCGUGGACAGUAAUCAAUUACCAGGGGCCAGUAAUGAUACCAUUCAAAUGCACUUAGCACUUCUGCACCAUCAACCUGAGGGCUGCCGACCUGCCAGUUUGAAAAGGCUUACGGCUGUGUGAGAAGGGAUGCUGAGGGAGCCACUGUGAAGCCUUUAGGUCGGGGAAAGCGGCUUCUUUCCCUACAUGUUAAAAAGAUUAAUGGAUAAAUUAGUCACUCACCUGCCCUACAUUAAGGUUUCUUUUACAACAAGCAUUAUUCUCCUGCUCCCUCCGUCUCCCCAGGGGAUGGCUGUUUAUAAAUAUUUGGGCAUCAUCUGAGGUAUCGUGGUCAGCAGUUUCACGGGAACAAAACAGCCUCGAAGAAAAUACCCCAACAGGAGCUGUGGUGAGGCCGGAAAAACAGCUCAACUCUUGCUUUUGCAUCCUGCCAGUCACCACAGUGCUCUGUGGCCACCAUGUCACUCCCUGUCUGUUUGUUCUGUGGCGCAAACGCUAUGCCUCUUCCGUGUGUGUCCAGAAGCCUCCUCUGUCCUUUCCACUGUCCGUGAGAAGUUGAAAAAGAAGGCAGCCUCUCUGUGGUUCCAUGUCAAAACACGUCAGGUGCAGCUCUUCCUGGGGUGGGCAGCUUCUCUUCUCCCUUCACGGCCAUCAUCAUUUAUAACACAGGCGUUCUCAGGAAGAAACACAAGCGUUGGAAGUUCACGGAGUCUUUUCCAACCCUCGUGGGGCUUCUGACGCUCCGUCCUCUAUUGCCUCUUUUUCCAGUGCCAGUCUUCUAUGAAGAGCGGGCUGUCCCAUGAUUACUACUCUGCUGGACCUUUUGGCUUAAAUAAUGGUAACUAAUCAAAAAGGGUGAGGAGGGUGGGGAAGAGGGAGCCCCAGAAGAGUUGUCCCACACUCCAUUCUUGAGGUUCAUUUUUGCUGUGUUUUAACAGUUUUUCCAGAUAAGUAUCAAUUCCCUGUUCAUGAGCUGGAGAGAACAGCAAAGUCUAAGUCCAUUACAGGCUUCCAUGAAACGGCCGUUUACAAAUCACUUCAGUUCUUUAGCUGUCCCAGUUUAAACUUACACCAAGCAAGGACAGGAAGGGGCAAGAGAGAGCAUUGUAGCAGGGUGGAAAUAGUCUACAUCUUGGGUAGGAUAGUGGGUACGUGAGUGCAUACAUGCGUCAAAGCGCAAACUGUGCAUGUAAAAUUGGUGCAUUGGUUGUAUGUACAUUUUAACCCAAUAAAAAUUGAGUUAAAAAUUCCUGACAACAAGCAACUCCCAACUAAGGAGGCAGAUCCUCAGAUGGGAAAGUGAAAUAAACAUGUCCUUAUCUUACCCCCUAUUAAAUAGGGGAUGAACACUUUCAAACACCACACAUUCUCUGCAGAAGCACCCAGGUCUGUGCAUGGAAUCCAAGGGAGUGCUUGCUAUUUGAAACUGCUUCUUCCCUGCCUGCCUUUGGGAGGCAGCUGCUGGGUACAGACUGACUGAGUUGCAAGUCUCCUCCAUUGGCAGAACUGCCUCUUUCCUGAAAUUUAUGUACUCUAUCCAUCCCAGAGCACAGCUCAGAGGAAGGCUCCGGAAGGGAGAGAAAUAAGAAUCUCGGCCAAGGACACAAAUCUCCCAGGACCAUCAAAGGUGCUGCCUUCCAACAAAAGAACAUUUGGAAUGGAUUCUUGAAUGUCCCAUUACUGAGACCGUUCCUUAAUAGUAUGCGCCACCUUACCUACCCACAAGGGCAUCGUGAGAAUGAAUGAAAGAAUGAACCCUCUGGAGCAUUUUUCCAGAGAGAAGGCCAGGUGAAUCAGAACCAUCAGCCUCCCCAGGAUGGCAUUUAGGGACAAAAUACUUUGAUGGCUUUAGUUGCCUUCUUCCUGUUUUUCAUCCCUAUUACGAUAACUCUAUAACGCAAAACGGGGCAGAGAUUUUGUUGAACUUAUCACUGAAAGUGUAUAACCUUUCAGCCGAACUUUCUCCAGUUUGGGAUGUCAUUACAAGUGCAUGAGGCAUGGUGCCCGGGACUCACUAUGAGACCCGGAGAGGCUACCUAUUCCCAUCCCACCAGCCUUAGUGAGCGAUUUGUGCUCAGCUUCCUCCUUCUACAAAGGAUACAAACUCUGGUUGUCCUUCUCCUUGUGUGUUGGUUAUGUUACUCUUUUUCUGUGAAAACCAAUGGCUAAGGCCUUUAGAGGGCUGCAUAACAUCAGGGAACACACGAACAUGUUAAUGCUAUAACUGUGAGCCUGGUCUUUUAGUAAUUUUGUUUCUCUCUAGCACUUAGCAUCACUGCCUUCUCCCCAACACACACAGAGACACACACAAAGUAUUUACUUCAAGAAUAACUUAAUUACCAGAUGCAACCUACAAAUUCAAAACAAUAUAAAAAUUCUGGGCAUUUUUUAACCAUAGAGAAAAAAAAAGAUCCUAAAAUGCCUAUGGAAUGACAAUAGACUCCAAAAAGCCAUAUCAAUUUUGAUACAGGGCUAGAAGCAUCAUAUUUCCUCAUUUCAAAAUAUACUACAAAGCUACAGUAAUCAAAACACAGUAUGGUACUGGCAAAAAGAGACACAUGGACUAAUGGAAUAGAGAGCCUAGAAAUAAAUUUAUGGAUAUAUGGUCAACAACUGAUAUUCAAGAAGAGUGCCAAAAAUACACAAUGGGGAAGGGAUAGUCUCUUCCAACAGAUGGUAUUGAGAAAAUUGGAUAUAUACAUGCAAAAGAACGAAACUGGACCUUUAUCUUAUAUCAUCCACAAAAAUCAACUCAAAAUGGAUUUAAAAAAAACCUAACACUAUAAAACUCGAGACGAAAAUAUAGGGGAAAAUCUUCAUGAUACUAGUCUUGAUAAUGAUUUCUUGGUUGUGUUCAUUUGGGGUGCAUUUGUUUGGGGUGUAGUAAGUACUGGAAAAGGGCCUAAGCAGAGCUUUUGGGUUUCUGGUACUAUACCAUUUCUUGAUCUUGAUCCUGGUGACAAAGAUGUGUUCGUUUCGUGAAAAUGCACCAAGUUAUAACUUAAGAUCUGUGCACUUUUCAGUAUGUAUACUUUAGUGAAAAGUUUAAAAAGAAUAAUUUAACUAUAUGUUUUUUGGUCUUUUUAGGGCCACACCAGCAGUAGAUGGAGGUUCCCAAGCUAGGGGUCGAAUCGGAGCUGCAGCUCCCAGCCUACGCCACAGCCAACGCGGUAUCUGAGCCAAAUCUGUGACCUACACCGCAGCUUGUGGCAACACCAGAUUCUUAACCCACUGAGCAAGGCCAGGAAUUGAACCAUCGUCCUCA
rnacentral:lncRNA from 1 species